rnacentral:rRNA from 1 species
UACAGAGGUCCCAAGCGUUGUUCGGAUUCACUGGGCGUAAAGCGCGCGCAGGUGGUCUUUCAAGUCAGUGGUGAAAGCCCGGAGCUCAACUCCGGAAAUGCCAUUGAAACUGUAAGACUUGAGGAUGAGAGAGGUGAGUGGAAUUCCCAGUGUAGAGGUGAAAUUCGUAGAUAUUGGGAAGAACACCGGUGGCGAAGGCGGCUCACUGGCUCAUAUCUGACGCUCAGGCGCGACAGCGUGGGGAUCAAACGGG